rnacentral:lncRNA from 12 species
UGUAUCUAAGCUGUGUUUUCUAACCAAGGCUGGCCCCUACUUACCAAGUUCAGCAUCUUGAUGUACCCAGUUGUUGCCCGAUCCGAAGAAAACACAAACAACCGAAGUCGUUUAUGCGGUGCUUUAUUGAGGGCCCGGGAGCCUGUGGACUAGCGUCCAAAGACAGAGCCCCCUCUUGCAGAAAAUCUACAGGGUUUUUAUACCUUUUUACAAAGUGGUCUACUUGCACAAGUACACAUUCUUCAAGACAAUACAGAUACAUAAAUCUUGUAGAUGUCAUUCCUAAAAGUUAUUAAUUCUACAUGCUUGUCUACUUCAGAACUAUAGGCUACCCCCUCCUUAAUCCUCCUUGCAUGUUUUCCCAUCACCAGAACCCUUAUUUAUUAUUAUACUUUAGCCUUAUCUUGACAGUUUCUAAGUGUUCUAUAAGCUCUACUAAAUCCUUUGAUUAUUGUUUUCACGGUACCAUAAUCUUCCUAACAUUUAAGUUUCUGCCAAGAGGUACAUUCCCUAGAUACAUGGAUACACUCCUUAAGAUAGGUAAUUGUUUUCACGGUACCAUAAUCUUCCUGACAUUUAAGUUUCUGCCAAGAGGUACAUUCCCUAGAUACAUGGAUACACUCCUUAAGAUAGGUAAUUGUUUCUUAACUACACUGCUUACAUUACGAAAUCUUCUAUAAAAUUCAUCUACCGGUUACAUGAGGCCUAUUGAGCCUUAGCAUAACUACCACUACUAAUGUCAACUAACAUUAAUUAAAAGGUUUACUACUACCUUAAUACAGUUUACUGAAUCAAAAUGGCAACACAGUGGCCUCAGGCCAGUAUGUAGAGGAUCCUCUAAGGCUCUGAGGUUGACAGCUGACAUCUACUGGUCUGAGCAGUUC